GGAUAAACAAUAAAUAAAACUAAUUGCAACUUUAAAUGAGGUCAAAAUUGGGCUCUCAUUUUCAAUAUAUUUAUCAUCCAUUGAGUUGAUCUCAUGUUAAUUGGGUAUUUAGAUGUGAAACAAAUUUAACAAUAUAAUGAAGAUUUACAAUGGUGAAGGUAAGAUGAGUUUCAUUUUGUAAAUUACAUUGUCAAGUGCAAAAUUAUUUGCAUAAUUGUUACAUUAAUUAAUCUUAUUGUAAGUUAAUAAACUAUUCACAAUCGAGCAUCUUUUCAGGUAAAAUAUUUACUAAUAUUAACCAACAUUGAAUAGGAUUAACCAGUUUAUUCAAAAGUACAUUGCUAUUGUAACUUGUUUUGCACUGGUUAACAUCAAUCAUGUUCACAAUUAGAUUGGCUAAUUUAACUGAUUUAACUGAUCUAAUUGCGAAACUAAUUUCACUUUAAUCUCUCAUUAAACAGUAAUUGUUAUGCAGAUUUAAAAGACACUCAAUAGACAAGAUGAUUUUGUAAAUAUAAAUAUCUUUAAAUUGAAUCGAUUGAACAAUUUAACCAGAAAAUUUUGAGGAACAUGUUGCUAACUCCAUCUAUUGUUGAAAAGGUUAACGAGUUUAAACACAUGUUCGAGUUUGGUUUUUAGUUUAAUCUGUGUAACUGUAUUAAUAAAUUGUUCAUCUAAUCUAAUGAAAGAACUGGAUUAAUUGGUAUCAACCUAAUUUCAAUAUUGGUUCAUUAAUUAUUUUAAAACUGACCAAGGAGAAGCAAAAGGAAAAAAAACAUCUUUAAAUUAAACAGUUAACACGCAGAUACACCAGUUUCAAUAGUGCCUAAUACUGGGAUCAUAAAGCUUUAAGAUUUAAACAUCUCAAUGGUUUCUUUAUAGCCCAUCCAGAUUGGAAGCUAAGGUGAUGGAGAAACUUCACAGCUUCUUGUUCCUGAUCAAUUCAAAUUAGGUUAAUAAUGAUGAAAAGAGAAAUAGAGAAAAUGAGAGAGAAAGAAGAGUGAAAACAAGAUCACACUUGAUGAUGAUCCUUCAUCAUAAUCAUCACUAUUUCAAGCUCAUUAUGUAUAAGAAUGAUGAAGUUAACUAUUUCAUGCUAACGGCUACUUUCUAUUGACCAAUCAACCAACCAACCAGUUAGUCAACGGAGAGAAAAAUACAUAAAAAUCAAGCCAAUCUUCAAACUUGAUCUUCCUUUCUUCCAUUUCAUCAUCAUCCAGAUCAUCAUCUUUCGCCAAUCUCUUAAAUUCUCAUCUAGAAAAUGGUUGCAACAGAAACUCAGGGAAUAAAACAUUUAUUUUUUGGUUAAAUUAGGCUAACAAUCAAUUUAAAUGAUACUCUUCAAUGGGUUCAACUUAAACUUCCAUCAUCAUCACCUAAACAAAAUGGUUAUAUUACUUCUCAAUCAUUAUCAACAUCAUUAUCGACCAACAAGUACAGUUGUAAUGAUAAAUACGGAGGCAGAGGAAAAAAACAACCAAAAAAACAAGAAAAAAUACACUAAUAAAUAACCCUUUUGGUUCAUAUAAAUUAACUCAGGCAAUGAUAGCCAAUAAAUAAUAAUGAGGUUGUGUUAAUGAUGAUUUAAAUAUUAACAACUUGAAAAAGGUCUGAAAAAAUAGAAGGAAAAAAAUGAUAGAAAUGACCAUUUCUCAAUGUAGACCGUUUUGGCCAGGAAAGUAGUUAAGGGUUAAGGUUAAUGUUUGGCCAUUGAAGGAGCAAAAUUGGUUUAAAAAUGGACCUAAAAAAGGGCAAUUCUUGAUAAUUACAUCUGAAUUGACCAACAUCACAAUGUUUCACCAAGCCAGCCAUUGAGAGUUUCAAUGUUUGUACAACUCUAGUCAUUUGAUUAAUCUGAUUAACCAUUUUUAACCAUUCAAUAUUGACAUGGAAACAGUUUGACAAUCAACUGUGAUUUAGGUCAGUCUUUGUUUAAUCUUGUUUAUUUUUAUGGGUGUUCAAGUUAAUCAAGUAAAUAGUGUAAAUUGAAAUGA